rnacentral:lncRNA from 10 species
AUGUCUGUGUGUCUGCGUCUUCAUCCGGGUUUGUCAGGCCACUGUGUCUGUGAACUUAGCUCCAUGAAAGCAAGAAGCCUACGAGAAUUCCACCAGGGGCAAACCUGGCCUUGGCGCUUCACUGUCCUAGUGUGUGUCUGGCCCUCCCAUUGCUGGCCAAGGCCCACAGCCACCGCAGACGACCUGCUGAUGCCUCUGCUGAAAGCAGUGGCCACUGGCCAACAGCUUGGCAAGAGUGUCAGCUCCCUCCCGAGAUGAAAUCAGAGGAAAACCGCCUCUAAUUUCCAAGAAGCACACAGGGAGCCACUUCUUUACUGCUUGCUCCUGCAGGGUUUUGCUCCCCCAGUUCCGCCCUGCAGGUGCUGGUUUGCCUCCUGAGUCCUGUCCCCAGGACAUCCUGCGCAUCUCCUGGUGAGUGAGCUGGGGCACUUCUCCUUCUGGAUACACCUGAAUUACCUCAUUCGCAUCUCAAGGCUCUCUGGGAGGAAACGUGGUGCAGGAACUAGUGUCUUCGGAUUAUGAGGGAGGAUGUGGAGGCAGAGGUGAGGAGUGGCAAAAGCCAAGCUGUGGGAAGCCUUUGGGCAGGAAGCGGAGCUUCGGGCUCCCAGGCAUGUCCUCUCAAUCUCUCCCAUCGCCCUCAGCAACAAAGCGCUGAGUGUCUCCAAGAUACGAGGUGCUCUUCUCUCCAGCAGUGUAAGAUCUGUUGGAAAGAUGAGACACAUCUACAAAACCUGACCAUGAGGGGGUGACUGAGAAAGGCCUUGGGAGGUGCCGAGAAGGAGCAUUACAGAAGGAGACUGUGUCCUGUGAUCCGGGAGGCUUUUCGAAAGCAAGGGGAUUCAAUCUGAGCACCAAAGAGGAAUUUGAAAAGCUGGCAUGGAGGGAAGGACACAUUCUCGUUGCACAGUUUGUAAGACAAGAUGCUGAGGAAGGUAAGCACAGGCAGGUUCUGAAGAGAGCCCACUCCAGGGCCCAUGAGGAGGCGGGCUUCAGCAGGCUGGGCUGAGGCAGACAGGAGCGGAAAGAAGGUAGGGGCUGGGUGCAGUGGCUCGUGCCUGUAAUCACAGCACUCUGAGAGCCCAAGGCAGGAGGAUUGUUUGAGGCCAGGAGUUUGAGACCAGUCUGUGCAACAUAGUGAGACCCUGUCUCUACCAAAAAAAAAAAAAGAGUAAUUAACCAGGCACAGUGUCACGUACCUGUAGUCCCAGCUACUCAAGAAGCUGAGCCCAGGAGUUCAAGGCUGUAGUGAGCUAUGAUGGUGCUGCUGCACUCCACAUUCCAGUCUGGGUGACAGAGCUAGACCCUGUCUGAAGGAAAAAAAAAAAAAAAAAAGGGAAAGAAAGAAAACAAAAGGGAGAGGCAGCAGGAAAAGAGAAUACAAGAAUUCUCUGAUGACAAAGCGGCUUUCACACCAUAAGCAAAAAUUCCCAGGGGACAUACAGUGUGUUGUUUCCUUGACAUUUUAUUUUUUAGGGUAUGUGGCAAAGACUGGUAAAUUGUUCACUGAACCCAUCUCCCUUUCUGUGCUGUUCAGCUUCCCCAGCUUCUGUGGCAAUUAGGGUGGCCAUGUGACUGACUUCUGGAGUAUGAGCAGAAGUGACGCACAGCACUGCAGGCAUAGCACGUAAAAUCACCCUGCAGGACUACCCACUCCGUCUCUUCCCCAGAAUGCUGCCUGCGCAGAGGACCCAAAGCCCUAGGGGGGAGCCUGGGUCCCCGAAUCACCCACCAAACACAUGCAAGGAGCUGUUAUAUGAGCAGAAAGUAAAUUUCUACUGUGAGAAGUCACUGAACUUGGGAGUUAUUCGUUAUAGCAGCUUGCCUGCCCUAAUACAGACUGAUUAAUACUAAUAUGGUAUAUCCGAUUCUCUCAACACUUUCUGUUUAGCUGAAAUGUUCAUCCUGACAUUUGCUAUGACUAGUUUAGGUUUCAUUCCUCUAUCCCCUGAACCGGGUAGAAUGCUCUGUUGUACUCAAUGCACCAACUCUGGAGGUCCACAUGGUAUUGCACCAUGACAGAAGAAUAGCGGAGUGAAGCUGGGAGAUGGACACACCAAGGGGAGCGAAUGUGAUGUUACAAUCCGAGAAAAUUAGAAAGGUGAAGAAAAAGCAAAUCCCAAUUCUAAACCAUCUUGAGAACCUUUGCUAGUUUAUUCCUUUACCCCAUGGCAACAGUUACAUAAAGUGAUUAUGUCCUUGCUUUAAAAAAGUGCUAUUCCUCUUCUUUUGAAACUACAUUUAAACUUCAAUAUUUACCUUGAUAGUUCACUUACAGGUGCCAGAAGCAGAACGGUCACACAUCCCUGCAACACAAUUUAAAAAAGAAAAGAAAAAUAAAUUUCUUGCAGAAGUAAAAACACAACAUAUUCCAUUUACUUCCCACACACUAAAAUCUUGUCCUCUCUCAGUAGAAACAACAAGCAAUAUUUUUCUGUGUAAAAGGAAGUGGAGAGUUUUCCAGGCUUCUCUGUUUCUCCCCAAACAGAUGGGCUUUCACAUUCAAGAGACACUGGAGCUGCCAUAACCUUGAGUGGACGUGAGCUUGGCCAGAUUGCACUGUCCAAAUGCCAGGACCCAGGGCCCUGGGAAGGUCCCUGAUGCAUGCGGCUGUGCUCUUGGAGGAUCUUGGUCACUCCAGCACGUUUCUUGCAGCAAUCUGCACUUGGAACAGCAUUUGAUAUGGAGGGAAACACUAGUAUAAUAUCAAGGUGUGUAUACUUGCAAAACUUGCUGUCUCCUGUGUGAAAUAAAUUCUGCUAAUUUGUUGGUAGGAGCUAGCUUAGUAUUUUUUUGGUAUCAAUGUGACUGGAGACUAUAUCCCUCAAUAAGUGUCAGGCACUGGCUCUGAACUAGCUAAAUGCUUUGCAUGUAUUAUUUCCUUAAAUCCUCACAAUAAUCCUAUGGAGUCAGCAAUUUUAUUAUUUCCAUUUUACAGGUGAGGAGACUGAGGCAGAAAGAGGUUGAAUGAUGUGCCCAAGGGAACAGAAGUCAUGAGUAGCAGAGCUGGGCUUGCUAAACAUCGUGUGGUCUUUGAGCUCAGGUCCAUCAGUGCUGGAACAAGCUAUGGUGUUAGUUGAAUUCACAGUAGGUCAUGUCAUUUUCCCACCAAACUAUCUCAGUCUGGGUACAAAUAAAAUCUCAGCCUGCUGGGUUUUUAUUUUUUUUAACCUCAGUAUGAC